CAUACAUAUUUGUUACGAUUUUCCCGGUAAAGCGUUAAACGUACAAAUUGUACCUAUAAGCUAGAAGUAAUUGUUUAAAACAAUGUACAUAAAACGCAGUAUGAGAUGCCCUCAUCGACCUCAUGUGAGUAUAUAAGGGUCCUGUCUAUUGCCACUGGCAUAGUAGUGCAAGUACGUCUACAAUGAACACAUUCACUUUCUUCGCCUUGGUAAUCUGCGCGAUCUUCGCUCUGGUGAGCGGAGUUCCGCAGCCGGACGCAGAGAUAUCUAUCACUGGAGCAGGGCCUGUUCCUGCGGAGUUGUUCGAAGGAGCUGAGUCCCGAGGAUACAACCGUCAUGGAGGCGGUGGCGGCCACGGACACUAUGGACAUGAUCACCACCACGGACAUGGACAUCACGGACAUGGACGUUAAGGACCAAAGCACUGUUUUUUCGAAGUACUGUUCACUGAUUUCGCCAUGUUUAUUUUUUUGUAAUAAAAGCAAUUGAUUGGA